rnacentral:misc_RNA from 1 species
GGGUCAGGUGGGGAGUUUGGCU